rnacentral:lncRNA from 1 species
GAUUUUUCGAAAGUGGCGCCAUCUAUGAAAAUGUCUGGUAAGCAACUUUGAUGGUCACUCUUUUUCUAAUACAGAGCGUUAAAACCCGAGUCUUGGUUUUAACUUUUAAAAAUUAGCUUUUGGCCUCUGUUUCCGCAACUCCUCGCAACCAGCUCGGAAUCAAAAUCUCUAAAUAAAAAUAACAAGUGUUGCUGUUCGACCGAGUCGGAAUUCAAAUCCAUUUAAUCUCUUCUUCUUUUCAAUUUCGAUAUUCACCUAUUAAAUGCAUGUUCUUCCUCGUUCUCUAUCGUAUUCACAUAUUACAUGUAUGUUCUAUAGCAACAAACUUCUGUCAGUAUGUCGUAAAUGCAACCAUUCAAUAACGUAAUGCUACAAAUUCAUUUUACUUAAACAAAAUACUAAUUGCUCCCGGCCAUAAGCCCUUUGCGCUAAUUUGGCGUAAACAGCCACCAAAACUGGUCAUUGGGACAAUAGUGCGUCUGCACCUCAGCUGUGUUUUGUCAAAUUUUAAAUUUUUUCUUCAUCUGUCAUCUACAUCACAACACUUCUCACACCAACACGCUAGCCGCCCUUCCCUAGGGCGCCCUUCCCACAUAAUGCAGACUCGCGGCAGAGGCAGCGAUCGCACACAAAAAAAAAA